rnacentral:rRNA from 1 species
CGGCGAGGGGAGUGAAAAAGAACCUGAAACCGUGUACGUACAAGCAGUAGGAGCCUCUUUAUGGGGUGACUGCGUACCUUUUGUAUAAUGGGUCAGCGACUUAUAUUCUGUAGCGAGGUUAACCGUAUAGGGGAGCCGUAGGGAAACCGAGUCUUAACUGGGCGAAUGAGUUGCAGGGUAUAGACCCGAAACCCGGUGAUCUAUCCAUGGGCAGGUUGAAGGUUGGGUAACACUAACUGGAGGACCGAACCGACUAAUGUUGAAAAAUUAGCGGAUGACUUGUGGAUGGGGGUGAAAGGCCAAUCAAACCGGGAGAUAGCUGGUUCUCCCCGAAAGCUAUUUAGGUAGCGCCUCGUGAACUCAUCUUCGGGGGUAGAGCACUGUUUCGACUAGGGGGUCAUCCCGACUUACCAACUCGAUGCAAACUGCGAAUACCGAAGAAUGUUAUCACGGGAGACACACGGCGGGUGCUAACGUCCGUCGUGAAGAGGGAAACAACCCAGACCGCCAGCUAAGGUCCCAAAGUCAUGGUUAAGUGGGAAACGAAGUGGGAAGGCUCAGACAGCCAGGAUGUUGGCUUAGAAGCAGCCAUCAUUUAAAGAAAGCGUAAUAGCUCACUGGUCGAGUCGGCCCGCGCGGAAGAUGUAACGGGGCUAAACCAUGCACCGAAGCUGCGGCAGCGACACAUAGUGUUGUUGGGUAGGGGAGCGUUCUGUAAGCCUGCGAAGGUGUACUGUGAGGUAUGCUGGAGGUAUCAGAAGUGCGAAUGCUGACAUAAGUAACGAUAAUGCGGGUGAAAAACCCGCACGCCGGAAGACCAAGGGUUCCUGUCCAACGUUAAUCGGGGCAGGGUGAGUCGACCCCUAAGGCGAGGCUGAAAAGCGUAGUCGAUGGGAAACGGGUUAAUAUUCCCGUACUGGUGGUAACUGCGAUGGGGGAACGGAGAAGGCUAGGUUGUCCGGGCGACGGUCGUCCCGGUUCAAGCAGGUAGGCAGAGUGAUUAGGCAAAUCCGGUCACUUAAUGCUGAGAUGUGAUGACGAACCACCAAGGUGGUGAAGCAAUUGAUGCCCCGCUUCCAGGAAAAGCCUCUAAGCUUCAGGUUACCAACAAUCGUACCCCAAACCGACACAGGUGGUCAGGUAGAGAAUACUCAGGCGCUUGAGAGAACUCGGGUGAAGGAACUAGGCAAAAUGGUGCCGUAACUUCGGGAGAAGGCACGCUGGCGGUAGGUAAAGUCCCUCGCGGACAGAGCUGAAGCCAGUCGAAGAUACCAGCUGGCUGCAACUGUUUAUUAAAAACACAGCACUGUGCAAACACGAAAGUGGACGUAUACGGUGUGACGCCUGCCCGGUGCUGGAAGGUUAAUUGAUGGGGUUAGCGCAAGCGAAGCUCCUGAUCGAAGCCCCAGUAAACGGCGGCCGUAACUAUAACGGUCCUAAGGUAGCGAAAUUCCUUGUCGGGUAAGUUCCGACCUGCACGAAUGGCGUAAUGAUGGCCAGGCUGUCUCCACCCGAGACUCAGUGAAAUUGAACUCGCUGUGAAGAUGCAGUGUACCCGCGGCAAGACGGAAAGACCCCGUGAACCUUUACUAUAGCUUGACACUGAACAUUGAGCCUUGAUGUGUAGGAUAGGUGGGAGGCUUUGAAGUGUGGACGCCAGUCUGCAUGGAGCCAACCUUGAAAUACCACCCUUUAACGUUUGAUGUUCUAACCUAGGCCCAUAAACUGGGUCGGGGACCGUGUCUGGUGGGUAGUUUGACUGGGGCGGUCUCCUCCUAAAGAGUAACGGAGGAGCACGAAGGUUGGCUAAGCAUGGUCGGACAUCAUGCGGUUAGUGCAAAGGCAUAAGCCAGCUUGACUGCGAGUGACGGCUCGAGCAGGUACGAAAGUAGGUCUUAGUGAUCCGGUGGUUCUGAAUGGAAGGGCCAUCGCUCAACGGAUAAAAGGUACUCCGGGGAUAACAGGCUGAUACCGCCCAAGAGUUCAUAUCGACGGCGGUGUUUGGCACCUCGAUGUCGGCUCAUCACAUCCUGGGGCUGAAGUAGGUCCCAAGGGUAUGGCUGUUCGCCAUUUAAAGUGGUACGCGAGCUGGGUUUAGAACGUCGUGAGACAGUUCGGUCCCUAUCUGCCGUGGGCGUUGGAAGAUUGAGAGGGGUUGCUCCUAGUACGAGAGGACCGGAGUGAACGCACCACUGGUGUUCGGGUUGUCAUGCCAAUGGCAUUGCCCGGUAGCUAAGUGCGGAAGAGAUAACCGCUGAAAGCAUCUAAGCGGGAAACUUGCCUCGAGAUGAGUCUUCCCUGUCGCUUUAAGCGACCUAAAGGAACGUUUAAGACUAAGACGUUGAUAGGCUGGGUGUGUAAGCGUAGCGAUACGUUGAGCUAACCAGUACUAAUGAACCGUGAGGCUUAACCU